GAGUAAAUCAGAGAAUGAGGAACAGGUACGACUUGCCAAGAAGGAGAAGAAGAAAAAGAACAAAUCGGAGAAGAAGGAGAAAAAAGAAAAGGAAGGCAAGAAAAAGAAGAGAUCCA
rnacentral:ribozyme from 1 species